UUGGAAGUAAAAGUCGUAACAAGGUUUCCGUAGGUGAACCUGCGGAAGGAUCAUUACCGAGUGAGGGCCCUCUGGGUCCAACCUCCCACCCGUGUUUAUUUUACCUUGUUGCUUCGGCGGGCCCGCCUUAACUGGCCGCCGGGGGGCUCACGCCCCCGGGCCCGCGCCCGCCGAAGACACCCUCGAACUCUGUCUGAAGAUUGAAGUCUGAGUGAAAAUAUAAAUUAUUUAAAACUUUCAACAACGGAUCUCUUGGUUCCGGCAUCGAUGAAGAACGCAGCGAAAUGCGAUACGUAAUGUGAAUUGCAAAUUCAGUGAAUCAUCGAGUCUUUGAACGCACAUUGCGCCCCCUGGUAUUCCGGGGGGCAUGCCUGUCCGAGCGUCAUUGCUGCCCUCAAGCCCGGCUUGUGUGUUGGGCCCCGUCCUCCGAUCUCCGGGGGACGGGCCCGAAAGGCAGCGGCGGCACCGCGUCCGGUCCUCGAGCGUAUGGGGCUUUGUCACCCGCUCUGUAGGCCCGGCCGGCGCUUGCCGAUCAACCCAAAUUUUUAUCCAGGUUGACCUCGGAUCAGGUAGGGAUACCCGCUGAACUUAAGCAUAUCAAUAAGCGGAGGAA
rnacentral:rRNA from 1 species